UCCGUCCUUUCCCAUAUGAAGACACCAGUCAUUGGAUUUAGGGCCCACCCUAAAUCCAGGAUUAUCUCAUCUCUAGAUCUUUAACUCAAUUACAUCUGCCAAGACCUUUUUCUCCAAUAAGGAAGUUAACAGGCUAAACUUGGAAGAGGAAUUUACUAUAUCCUACAGCCUGGUAGGAGGUGAUUGGAUCAUAAGGGCAGAUUUCUCAUGAAUGGUUUAGUACCAUCCCCCUGGUACUGUCCUCAAGAUAGAGAUGGAGCCGUGACCCAGGUGGUUACUGAGCUGCCGCCAAGUCUGCAGUGCUAUUGGUCCAGAAAAGGGCAAAGAGCGAACAGAGCCAUCAAACAGCGUGAGGAGCAGGUGAGGGGUAUGAGAGCCCAGUACGAAUAACUGUGGCAAAGCCUGGGCCUCACACCCUCGUGUACACAUCACGCCCCUGCAAGUUCACCUCCACUGUUCAGGGUCCGAUCGCCUGGAGGAUGGGUGUGGCUUUUCACGCAGGGACCCGCAGGCUCAGACCUAUUUCCCCAGCGGCUUCUGUGGACUGCAGAAUCAGGGAAACGUUUCCCCAAGAGGCUUGACAUGGCAUUGUGUCGAACCCCUGGAAAACCUUACCCCCCAAACCUUCCUCCCUCUGCUGCUUGUCUCUAACUGGGCUGUUUCUAAGGCAAUUGUAGCUAUAUAAUUUUCUAUUUUUUCCCCACACUUAAUCAUGCUCCUUGUUAAAAAAACAUUAGAAAAUAAAGAUAUGAAUUAAAAAAACCACCCUACACCCAAAGAUAACCACUGUUAACAUUCUGAGAUAUUCCUUCUAGACUUUUUCUCUCUCUGCAUGCGUGUGUACGUGCGCGCGUGAGUGUAUUUAUAUAUAUGCGUGUAUAUAUAUAAAAUCAGGCACCACUGAUAUUUUGGAUGGG
rnacentral:lncRNA from 10 species